CCUAAUGGAUGAGGAAGAGGAGGGGGCGUGGGGUGUGGAACACACUGAGCCUGAUGCAGCAGCCAGAGCAUCCAAGUGCCUAGUUUUCAUUUAGUCACUGAAGAGAUGGUUGGUAUUGAAUUUUUAAAUCUACCCAUAUAAUUUAGCUAAAAUCUGAAACACGCUGUCCCACACCAUGUAACACAAUAGUCACCUUCUGAUUAUUUCUAUUAGUGAAGCAGAUACUACAUCAUUAAUUGAAAUCUACAAACUGUCUAUAGCUAUCUUGUCACACAGCUAUGUAUACCAGUUAGGAUUAAUAAAAGUAUUAAAAGAAUGUAAAAUCCUUAACAAAGUGUCUGACACAUGGUAAGUAUUUAACCAACGUUGUUUUAUUUUUUUUUUAAUGUUUCUAUUUAAGAGAGAAAGAGCGGGUGUGCAAGUAGAGGGAAAGAGAGAGAGGGAGACACAGACUCCGAGGCAGGCUCCAGGCUCCGAGCCGUCAGCACAGAGCCCGGAUGUGGGGCUUGAAUUCACGAACUAUAAGAUCAUGACCUGAGCCGAAGUCAGACGCUAAACCGAGCCACCCAGGGUGAAUUCUGGAACACGGCCGUUCUGCUGAGACCGGUUACCUGCGGACUGGCAGGGCGGCCUGCAGCGAAGUGCGUGGCAGAGAAAAGGAAUUGUGGCUGCUCUCCGAGCGUCAGCUUGGACACUGAAGCGCUGGCCGGCCGAAGCUCUCCAGAGGACUUCGUUCUGGACACAACGAACCCGUCUCGAAAUGAGAAACCCACCCACAGACAGUCUGCACAGAGCUUGCGGCUCAGUCAGGACUCACCCGCCGGGCCCCAGGGACGAGCCUCGACGUCCUGGUCAGCAUCGCUGCUGCGACCUGAAACACAGUGGAAAGGGAAAAGUCACCUGGGUGAUGGAUCCAUACCCAGAAUAUGUACAGAAAGGGCAGAAGACACAGGAGACUUUUCAAAGGAAAACAAAUGGCUACUAAACUCACGGAAAGAUUUUCAUCCUCAUUACAAAUCGGAGAAAUGUAAAGUAAAACCAGCACAGAGAGCUGCCAUUCAGUCAGCAUGCUGGGAAAAAGGAGGACAAGAGUGAGCGUCACAGAGGCUGUGAAGCCCUGGGGACACACCGUCACCAGGAGCAGAUACAAUUAUCUUCGUUCAUUCAUUCAUUGGGGAAGAUACAUAUACGUGGUGACACUGGGAGACAGAGGAGGGGAAAGGAUCAGCACAUUGGGAAUAAUGCUGACUCCUGGGCGGAGGUGAAGGGCAGGACUGUGCAAAGCACAGAGAAUGGGAAUGAUCUACUUCUAAUCUGGAUAAUGGGGACAGGAGUUCUGUUUUACUAUUUUUGUAUCUUGUGUUUUUUUGUAUUCAAUCAUAUGUUGAAAAUAUCUCAGAAAAAUAAUCCUAAUCUCUUGGGAGCCGAAAGAUGUUUAAAAUACUUAUAUGCAACUCUUAAUAUAACAUAAUUAAAUCGAAUCUCCAGG